UUUUUUGGAGAUCAAUAUCAUCAUACCUGUGUGCUUCAUAUGCUUGUAAAACUCUUCCUAGGGGUGUAGAGCACUUUGCAAGGGAUUUGUACAAUUAUAUAUAUAAUCUACAUGUCAGGGUGAUUAUAAAGAAUUCCAGUGCUUUGUCGAUGUGAAACCUCAUAGACUGUUACACCCCGCACAGACAAGAUGGCUGUCUCUACUUCCAGUUGUAAAAAGGCUAUUGGAACAGCUUGCAGCUUUAAAGUUAUAUUUUCAAAGUAUAGUUUUGAAUGAUAGGCUACUUGCAGCUCAGAAAAUCCUUGAAAAAUGUAUGAAUCCAUCAACAGAGUUAUAUCUCAAUUUCUUGGAUUAUGUGUUGCCCUAUUUCCAUGAUAUUAACAAAGAAAUGCAAGCAGAAAGUCCUAAACUUUAUUUGUUAUAUGAACGGAUUUUUAUGAUAUACAAAACUAUCUUGGACUGCUUCAUUACACCAAAUUUGCUACAACUGACUAAAGAUGAGAAAAACAAGAGCUUGGAUUUAGAGACAAAAAUAUUAAAUGUGGAUUUCGAACUAAGAGAAAAGCAUCUACCUCUUGAUCAAGUAUACCUGGGUGGUAAUACUACUUCAUUACGAGUAUUAAUGAAAGAAGAUUUUGUGGGGAGGAUGACGGAUGACUGAGUUAGAACAUAAACAAUUCAAAGAAAAAUGCAUCCUGUUCUACGUUGAAAGCGUUAAACAAAUACGCCAACGAUUUAACUUCGAAGACAAAAAAAUAUUUAAGUCUAAAUUUCAUGAACCCGCAAAAUAUUAUGGAACAGAAUACCGUCCCUAGUAUUGCUCACUCAGGAGUUCUGUUUCCAGGUAAGUUUACACAAUUUUAUACCCCAAUGGUGGAGUAUUUUGUAAGGCAUGGUUGCAAACAGUACAUUCGCGGUAAACCAAUGAGGUUUGGCUUCAAGGUUUGGUGCUUGAAUAAACCGAGCGGUUACUUAGUAGACUUCGAAAUGUAUCAAGGAAAAAGUGUGAAUGAGAAUCCUGAGUACGACCAACUCUACGGCAAAGCUGCAGCUCCUCUAGUAAAGAUGAUCGAUGGAAUGCCUGAAAAUGUUCAGUCACUGCCGACGAGUUUUUAUUUUGAUAACCUGUUUACAGGAUUUCAACUACUGCAGCAUUUAAAAAGUCGGGGCUAUAAUGGAACUGAAACUGUGCGUGAAAACCGUCUUCCAAAAGAUAUACCUAUAACCGACGAAAAACAAAUGCAGAAAAAGGAUCGCGGUUUCUACGACUUUGCAAAGUGCUCUGAAGAUGACAUUAUUGUUGUUCGUUGGACGGAUAACUCGGUCGUGACUGCGAUGUCUACUGUCCAUGACGUAGCUCCUGUAUCUAACGUAGACAGAUACAGUGCAGCAGACAAGAAGAAGAUCAACGUAUCACGCCCAGCAAUAUUUACAGAGUACAAUCGACACAUGGGUGGCACAGAUCUGAUGGAUCAAAAUAUCAACACAUAUUACGUUCGGAUCAGAGGUAAAAAGUGGUGGCGGUCUAUAUUUACCUACUUUUGAGAUGCCUCUAUUUGUAAUGCUUGGGUGUUAUCAAGAAUAGCAGGAAAUGCAGCUGGUCAAUUGGACUUUCGUCGGCAAAUAACACAAACGUAUCUAACUAGAUAUCGAAACCUACCUCUUACUGGGGGACGUCCGCCAACACCUAAAUAUUCCCGAACUGACAGCCGUGUCAAUGACACCAUAAGGUACGAUGGUCAAAACCACCUUCUCAUUCCUUCUCAGAAGCGACGAAGAUGUGCGUACGAGAACUGUCAGGCUCGGUUGAGAUUGGAAUGCUCGAAAUGUGAUGUAGGAUAAGUGCUGCAUGCAACUACCAAUUUCAUGUAAAGUAUUUUUUGUAACGUCUCGGAAGCUGUUAUUAAAUAAAUAUAGUAAAACAUACGUACUGUAUGUUAUUAAGUUGCAAACGAAGAGGCUGAUUUAUUAAAUAAAUGAUAUUAACAUAUUUGCACUCAUAUUAAUUUCAUAGUAUAGUUGGUCAAGCAAAUCUUGUCAGUAGAAAAACGCGGCAAAUUUGAAAAAUCGCGGGCUAGCAACACUGUGUUCGAAUAAUUCCAAAAUCGCGUGUAAUCUGUGUUUUAUCUGUGGAAUGUGGAUCGUCCAUCUUGUUUGUUUACAUUCCGAAUCGGUGCUAAUUCAAGAGAAAUUUCUGCUCCCAGCAUUAAAAUAAAUAUCAAUAUAUUAAAUAAUAUUGUGCAUGACCAUAAGCAAAGUUAAGAUGCCUACAAUGUAAGUAAAAUCAUGCUCGUUGAUCUUAACCAUUAGAAAAUUUUUAGGGUUAUGUUAAUUACUGGAAGAUCCCGGAGAAUUUUUAAAAUAAUGUGCAGUUUUUUCUGUUUCAGGGUUAAAAGGCUUAAAUAAAGAUAAAACGUAUGCCUAAAUAUAUCCAAUAAGACCACGAAUUGUGCCCUCACAAAACCGCAACUGAUUCGAUUGUUCCCAAUAUCAACAGACGAAGUCCUCAAAUAUUUUCAAAGGAUUAAAACUCGCCCAAUAUAAGGCGUUCGUAAAAGUUUCUCUUCAUACAAAACUUACCUACGGCGGUUUACGUACAUACGUGUACAACGCAAACAAGACGAAAAAUAAACUUGUUAAUUAAAAAAACUAAAAAAAUUGGGACAAUAGUUUAGAUUAUUAUUGUACAAGUUGUCCGUUUGUUAAUCAUCACGAAAAUAUAUUAUUUAGGCUGAUUUGUUUCAUGCACUCAGCUAUUGCACAUGUAUACCUAUGGAAAAUCCUAGUUUAUACUUUCUGAAGUCAGUAUUCUACCUAUUUAAGAGAAGUUUUAAGUCGCUUUACCUGUUUGUUUCAUAAAUUAAAAUAAUUUAUUCAGUGUGCAUAAUUUUAGAAAAAUAUUUUAAUAUUUAAAUCAUACCUUUUAUCCAGAAACAAUAUAACUCCAUAUUACUCACAUGAGUGGAAGUUGGUAAGUUUCCAUUGUCAAGGUAUCUUUUAUUAAUAUUUUGAGUACCUGAAAUUGUAUCAGUUCCUGACAAGUCUUGAAUAGACUAAUGUGAAAGUUAAUAAAAUUUCUUAACAGCAUUCUCCUGAUAUCUAAAUGAUUUUUUUAAAUAUCUACAUAUAAAAUAUGAUCUAGCCGAUACAUGUAAAUAUCUAAUAUUUUUAGCCUGUAUAAAAACAGUCGUGUGAGCAAAACCUUACCAAGCUAGCAUGUAAGAGUGGUCUCAGAGAUAUUGGAAUAUCUCUGUACUAUAAAUUAGGCAAAUUGCUUUAGACUAAGUUUUAUGUGUAACUACUACUAUAAGAAUAAAUUUUGAAACUUGGAAUGGAAACUUUAAACUUGAAAUUACAAAUUUUCUAACAGAUCUGUUUUAUGCUUAAGAUGCAAUAAGUGACUAGGUACAAAGUAUUCUGAUGCUUGGUUGGAGUGGACCAGUAACAUUGGUAACUUAAUGAUAUUUUAUCAAUGAAUGGCCUGAAUUAAGUGUAAGUAAGCUAAAGUGACCCGUAUCUUAAUUGCCUUGAAAUUAAAUGUACACCAAAAUAUCUGCA